rnacentral:tRNA from 1 species
AGGGACAAAAGCUUUGUUUGAAGCGUUGGGUUGCAGGCCUAAAGAGGAGUAUACUUUAUCUCUUGUCUUUG